UUACAGAAAUGUUUAGCCACAUUGUAAUACUGUUAAUAAAAAGCUCUAAUAUAUUUUGCUAACGUGUAUUUAAUAAACAAAACUGAAUAUAUUCUGUCUGAAACAUUCGGUCUUACUCAGUUUUUUAUGAAUACAAUUUGUAUGCUAAUUCUGCCUGACCUUUAUUAGACAUAAAACACAGUCACAACAUUAAACCUAUACCGUAUAUACAUAUAUAUCUGUCUUUCUGUCACUGUCUAUACCAGCCCUGCGCCAAAAGCACUAUUACAGAGGCUGACGUGUGUGUGUGUAAUCAAAUCAAUAAUGCAUUGAGCAGAUGACAUUAAUAAAAUACUUUUCCUUUUAUGGCGAGUGCAGCUAAAGCAGGCGUUGAAAGCAAUGUGUGGAGGAAAAUAGAAACUAAAUAGAGGAUGCUAUCUUACAAUUGAUUAAGGGGACAUAUAUAUCUUAAUUGGAGGGCAGCUAACAUGAAGAACUCAUAUUGAAAUGUGAGAUAUUCAUUAUAAUUAAAUCCAUAAUAAGUCACGACAACACGUGGUAUAAAAUGGCGUGAUUUACUGAGAAUGAGCUGAACAUCUAAAUGCCCCACUAAUGCAUUUUUGGAUAAAUGGAUUUUUUCAUUACAAAGUGACCUUGGACAGACUCCAGAAAGCAUCACUUCUCCAAAUUAUUUCUAUGUUUCCUGUCAAUAUGAAUAAGUCAUAAUCUCUUACCGUUAAGAAGAUAUUUAACCAAAUGUUAGGAACCAGUAGUGACUAGUCCAAUCAACUCACAGUACUAUCCAGAAAACCGCCUCUUCAACAAAUAAAGAGCGAAAUGAACCAAACCUUACCCCCAUCAACCAACAGCACAGCUGCCACAGUGAAAUACUUGAAGAACAUCAAUAUUUUCCUCCACUGUAUAAUAUGUGUUCUUGGUGUUGCUGGCAAUGGAAUGGUAAUCUACAUCGCAGGCCUCAAAAUGAAAAGGACGGUCAAUACCAUCUGGUUUCUGAACCUGGCAGUAGCUGAUUUCCUGUUUUCAUUUUUCUUGAUCUUUAAUAUAAUUUACGAAUAUCAUGAUUUGGAUUGGCCUUUUGGUGACUUUGGGUGCAAGUUGAGUAGCCUGGUGACUGUGCUGAAUAUGUUUGCCAGCACAUUCCUGCU